UGAGGGGGGAGGGCCGGUAGUUACACUCAGUAGCACAGGAACAGAGCGGGAGGGAGAGAGAGAGAAAGAGCCAGGGACAACAACGUCACAUUAGAAAGAGCACAAAACCAUCACAGCCGAGUCUGGACAAGAUGUCACUCUGACAUGUCGAGUUACAAACAACAACAACAUAGUUGUGAACUGGAGCAAAGCUGACCUGGGAGAUGAAUAUGUCCUUUUGUACCGGGAUGGUCAGCUUGUUCCAGAUUGUCAGCAUCCAUCUUUUAAGAAACGUGUGGACCUGCAGGACAGACAGAUGAAGGAUGGAGACGUGUCUGUGAUUCUGAACAAUGUGACCAUUAAUGACACUGGAACACAUGAGUGUCGUGUCGUCCAGCGAGUGAGAGGACCUAUGACUCUAAUCAACAGCACCAACCUGAGUGUUGUUGAUCCUCCAGGUCUGACAGGAGGAGUCAGUAGAGGUCGUCGUAGACUGGUCGCGAAUUUCUCCGUUUUUGAUGUUGUUGUUGCUGUUGUUGGUGUCUUGGUGGUGUUGUGAUCUAGAAAAAAAAUAAAAUAAAAUUCAUGCCAGAAUUCAAACCAGCCUCAUGUUGACUUGUAGCAGACCAAAAUCUCUCAGUCC
ensembl:lncRNA